rnacentral:lncRNA from 1 species
GUUCUUGGUGGGGCGGGUCCGCUUCCUCUUCACCAUUACAGGCUUCCGGCUGUGCAGGGCGCUGGCCCUGCGGAUGGCAGCCAUGCGCAGGUCAGGGCAUACUUGUUCUUCAGUAUCGUGUGUCUGAUGCUGCUGAGCGUGGCGCGAGCAUUCUUGUUGAUGGUGGUCCGCACAUAGGAGGUGGCAGGCUCCACGCCCACAGUCUUGCGGUGAAUCAGCCCUUUUUAGCGAAGGAGUUGCGGGCCUUCAAGUUAUUGGGCUCUGUGCUGUCUGUCUACUUCUUCCUCUUGAUCAGGAAACUGGAGCAGUUCCUCACGACCAUCCAUUGCAGAUGCGCAGACAUGGCGGCGGCUUCUCUCGCAGCGGC